rnacentral:misc_RNA from 1 species
UCUCCGUAGGUGAACCUGCGGAGGGAUCAUUACAGAGUUCAUGCCCUACCGGGUAGAUCUCCCACCCUAUGUUAUUAUUACUUUGUUGCUUUGGCGGGCCGUUAGGCUCCGGCCCGACUACCGGCCCCGGCUGGUAAGCGCCCGCCAGAGGACCCAAAACCCUGAAUAUUAGUGUCGUCUGAGUACUAUAUAAUAGUUAAAACUUUCAAUAACGGAUCUCUUGGUUCUG